rnacentral:rRNA from 1 species
AUAUCAAUAAGCGGAGGAAAAGAAACUAACAAGGAUUCCCCUAGUAACUGCGAGUGAAGCGGGAAAAGCUCAAAUUUAAAAUCUGGCGGUCUCUGGCCGUCCGAGUUGUAAUCUAGAGAAGUAAUGCCCGUGCUGGACCGUGUAUAAGUCUCCUGGGAUGGGGCGUCAUAGAGGGUGAGAAUCCCGUCUUUGACACGGACUACCAGUGCAUUGUGGUAUGCUCUCAAAGAGUCGAGUUGUUUGGGAAUGCAGCUCAAAAUGGGUGGUAAAUUCCAUCUAAAGCUAAAUAUUGGCGAGAGACCGAUAGCGAACAAGUACCGUGAGGGAAAGAUGAAAAGAACUUUGGAAAGAGAGUUAAACAGUACGUGAAAUUGCUGAAAGGGAAACGCUUGAAGUCAGUCGCGUUGGCCAGGGAUCAGCCUUGCUUUUGCUUGGUGUACUUUCUGGUUGACGGGUCAGCAUCAAUUUUGACCGCUGGAAAAGGGCCUGGGGAAUGUGGCAGCUUCGGCUGUGUUAUAGCCCCUGGUCACAUACGGCGGUUGGGAUUGAGGAACUCAGCACGCCGCAAGGCCGGGUUUCGACCACGUUCGUGCUUAGGAUGCUGGCAUAAUGGCUUUAAGCGACCCGUCUUGAAACACGGACCAAGGAGUCUAACAUGCCUGCGAGUAUUUGGGUGAAAAACCCGAGUGCGCAAUGAAAGUGAAAGUUGAGAUCCCUGUCGUGGGGAGCAUCGACGCCCGGACCAGAACUUUUGGGACGGAUCCGCGGUGGAGCAUGUAUGUUGGGACCCGAAAGAUGGUGAACUAUGCCUGAAUAGGGUGAAGCCAGAGGAAACUCUGGUGGAGGCUCGUAGCGAUUCUGACGUGCAAAUCGAUCGUCAAAUUUGGGUAUAGGGGCGAAAGACUAAUCGAACCAUCUAGUAGCUGGUUCCUGCC